rnacentral:lncRNA from 1 species
GCCAUUCUCCUGCCUCAGCCUUCCGAGUAGCUGGGACUAUAGGUGCCCGCCACCACGCCAGGCUAAUUUUUUGUAUUUUUAGUAGAGAUGGGGUUUCACCGUGUUAGCCAGGAUGGUCUCGAUCUUCUGACCUCGUGAUCCGCCCGCCUCGGCCUCCCAAAGUGCUAGGAUUACAGGCGUGAGCCACCGCGCCCGGCAGCAAAUUUUAAGUAUUGAUGGAUGGUUGGGUGACAUGGACUCCAGUAUGUGCCAUGAAGGAUACGAAGAUGAAGCUGUCAUGAACUCUGCUCUCGAGAAGCUACUGUCAAAGUUUGUUUUUUUUAAACUUGAUAUAUUUGAGGUAGAAUUGACAAGAUUUUAGUAUUGAUGAAAUAAGAUAAAAGGGAUGGUGAAAUUAAUGAUGACUUUAGCCAAAAUAAUUAAUUCAGGUGGGGAGGAGAGAAGGGGAUUGACUGAAUUCUAGUUGACUGAGGCUUACUCAUAGUGGGAAGAGCUGUGAGCCAUGUACUGUUUUAUUUAUUGUUUUGUUUUCGGGUUUUGUUUUUCAAUACCAAAAGUGGAUAUUCAUGGAGUCUGAGAAGCUAGGAUUAGAAAUGCAGUAUGUGACAGCAGAAUGGCAAUGUCAUAAACCGUCACUGUGCUAGGUUCUAGAAAUAAAAUAUAGUUGAUCCUUGAACAACACAGAUUUGAAGUGCCUGGGUCCACUUACAUGCAGAUUUUCAUCCACUUCUGCCAUCCCUGAUACAGCAAGAACAACACCUCCUCUUUCUUCUCCUCCUCAGCCUUCUCAAUGUGAACACCACAAGGAUGAAGACCUUUAUAAUGAUCCAUCUCCACUUAAUUAAGAAUAAAUAUUUUUUCUCUUACUCAUGAUUUUAUUAAUGGUAUUUUCUUUUCUCUAGCUUACUUUAUUAUAAAAAUACAGUAUAUAAUACAUAUAGCACACAAAAUAUGUGUUGAUCGACUAUUUAUGUUAUUGAUAAGGCUUCCGGUCAAAAGUAGGCUAAUAGUAGCUACAUUUUUUGGCAAAUCAAAGGCUAAUUACUUGGAUCUGAUCACUAUACAUUAUGUAUAUCACAACAUCACUAUGUGCCCCAUAAAUAUGUACAAUUAUUGUGUUUAUUUAAAAUUUGGAAAAUAAAAAGUUACAAAACAUUUUUUUAAAAUUUAAAAUUUAAAA